GGGAAUCAAAACUGGGGAAAAGGAGUUGCUUGGGCAGCUUGGGAUGACAUGACCCAACCUAAAUAUAUGGGGGGGCAUGGGCUUCAAAAAGAUGGAGCUAUUUAAUCUUGCUUGGCCAAUAGGGAAAGAGGGCGGCUUGUUCAACAUCCCAGCUCAUUAAGUGCACAAAUAUUGAAAGCGGUUUAGUACCCAAAUGGAGGUUUCCUUUCAGCCCAAUUGGGAUCUAAACCGUCACAGAUCUGGAUGUCUAUUCAUGAAGGGAGACAUGUUAUGAAGCAAGGACAUAUAAGGAGAAUUGGUGAUGGGAGAACUGCUCACAUAUGGAACGAUCAGUGGCUGCCUAGGGAAACUACAGAGGCCGGUUGUGCCUCGGCAACAAAACAAACUGCAGAUGGUUUUUGA
rnacentral:rRNA from 1 species